UGCUUAGGAAUGUGAUAGUGAAAAUCAAUUGAAGCUUCCCAUGCUUAUCUUUUCUUGGUACAAAAGCAAACAGGAUCAGAAACCAAUAAAAUCAUUAUUAACUACUUAAAAGCCACCCAAAAAUGUAAACAUAUUAGAAGUGUUUAUUUUGGCACUCGUGGUGAAAGUGCCAAUAUAUAUCUGCUGAAAAUAACUUGACUAUAGUUCUGAGAGCUGAAAUGUAAUACAGCAGCUAAUGACAGUUGCAGUGUCUAUUGAUACCUCUUGGCCCUCUGAUUCUGGAGCUUACAUAGAGAGACUGUUUUCCUGGGCGAUUUCACAUUAAUAAUAAAUGAGGCCUAGGCAGCAUUUUUGAAGGGUAGUUUGGACUCAUGGGCCUGCAUGUCAUUCUGGCAUACAAUCAAACUUUCAAAUAAUGUAUUGAUUACUAUGAAUGUUGUGGUCAGAUCUCAUUGUCAGGGUAUUGCAUGCUAUUUAGUAUCUGUGAGGUUCAACAUGACACUUGUCUUGAAGACUGAUUUCAUAUUU